rnacentral:rRNA from 1 species
UACAUAGGGGGCAAGCGUUAUUCGGAAUCAUUGGGCGUAAAGGGCGCGUAGGUGGUUCUGUAUGUCUACCGUGAAAGCGUACGGCUCAACCGUAUUUUGUCGGUGGAAACUGCAGGACUUGAGGCUGGGAGGGGCUGGUGGAAUUCCCUGUGUAGCGGUGAAAUGCGUAGAGAUGGGGGAGAACACUCGUGGCGAAGGCGGCCAGCUAGACCAGUUCUGACACUGAGGCGCGACAGCGUGGGGAGCAAACAGG